UUAAAUUGAAGAGUUUGAUCAUGGCUCAGAUUGAACGCUGGCGGCAGGCUUAACACAUGCAAGUCGAAC
rnacentral:rRNA from 2 species